rnacentral:lncRNA from 1 species
ACCAUGGUUUUAUUUGAUCCUUUGUUCCUUCUUGGUUGAACCUGUUCUUUCUUCCUAUUUCUUCUAUCUGCUCUUUCUUUCUUCCAUUCAACCUCCCAUCAAGGGCAGUUUCUGAUGUGGUGAUUAGUCUUUCCACACUUGUAACACCCCUCUGGUUUGUUUCUCAGGAGCCCUAGGUAUGUUGAAUGUUGUUCCUUUUGAAGGAUCCUUUCCUCUCAUAAGAUAUUUCUUGAAAUCUCU